rnacentral:rRNA from 1 species
AGAGUUUGAUCCUGGCUCAGGACGAACGCUGGCGGUGCGCCUUAUGCAUGCAAGUCGAGCGAAGCUUUUCAGUAGUUUACUACAGAAAAUGACUGAGCGGCGAACGGGUGAGUAACGCGUGAGCAAUCUACCUUAGUUACAGGGAUAGCCCGAGGAAACUCGGAUUAAUACCUGAUAUUCUUUAUUUCUCGCAUGAGAAUAAAAGGAAAGGUCAGCCGAACUAAGAUGAGCUCGCGUUCUAUCAGCUAGUUGGUGAGGUAAAAGCUUACCAAGGCUACGACGGAUAGCUGGUCUGAGAGGACGAUCAGCCACACUGGGACUGAGACACGGCCCAGACUCCUACGGGAGGCUGCAGCAGGGAAUAUUGUGCAAUGAACGAAAGUUUGACACAGCGACACCGCGUGUGGGAUGACGGAUCUAGGUUUGUAAACCACUUUCAGGAGGGAAGAAAAUGACGGUACCUCCACAAGAAGCCCCGGCCAACUACGUGCCAGCAGCCGCGGUAAUACGUAGGGGGCGAGCGUUGUCCGGAUUUAUUGGGCGUAAAGAGCUCGUAGGCGGUUCAACAAGUCGGUCGUGAAAGUUCAGGGCUCAACCCUGAAAUGUCGAUCGAUACUGUUGUGACUAGGAUACGGUAGAGGUGAGUGGAAUUCCGAGUGUAGCGGUGAAAUGCGUAGAUAUUCGGAGGAACACCAAUUGCGAAGGCAGCUCACUGGACCGCUAUCGACGCUGAGGAGCGAAAGCUAGGGGAGCAAACAGGAUUAGAUACCCUGGUAGUCCUAGCUGUAAACGAUGGAUACUAGACGUAGGAACUGGAUUGACGGUUUCUGUG